GCUGGACGCGGUGGCAUGUGUCUGCAGUCCCAGCUAUUCAGGAGGCUGAGGCUGGAGGAUCUCUUGAGUCCAGGAGUUCUGGGCUGUAGUGUGCUAUGCCGAUCGGGUGUCCGCACUAAGUUCAGCAUCAAUAUGGUGACCUCCUGGGAGCGGGGGAACACCAGGUUGCCUAAGGAGGGGUGAACCGGCCCAGGUUGGAAAUGGAGCAGGUUGAAAAGGAAAAGGAAUGCAAAAGAAAUAGAAGGAAGUGCAUAAGGUGGGGGGCAGCCCCAGGCCUCCGCUUCUC
ensembl:misc_RNA Metazoa_SRP Metazoan signal recognition particle RNA